UACGUAGGGGGCAAGCGUUGUCCGGAUUUAUUGGGCGUAAAGAGCGUGUAGGCGGCCAAGCAGGUCCGCUGUGAAAACUCGAGGCUCAACCUCGAGACGUCGGUGGAAACCGUUUGGCUAGAGUCCGGAAGAGGAGAGUGGAAUUCCCGGUGUAGCGGUGAAAUGCGCAGAUAUCGGGAAGAACACCCGUGGCGAAGGCGGCUCUCUGGGCCGAUAUUGACGCUGAGGAGCGAAAAGCGGUGG
rnacentral:rRNA from 1 species